ACACAAAAACGGCAAAAAAAAAAAUUCACCUAACAAACGAUCCCAAACAAAUCUUCCCCCCCUUCUUUCUCUUUCUCCUCUUUCUUUUUCUUUCUCUUUCUCUUUCUCU
rnacentral:ribozyme from 13 species